AAGUAGCUCAAAAGUUGUUGUAUAGUAAAGCAUUGGGGGCAUACCACAGUAUAUUUAAAAACUUUUCAAAUUUGGAUAGUGUCCCAGUUAAAGUACUUUUAAAACUUUUCUCGGCUCUGGUUUCUCCGAUAUUGUUGUACUGCGUCGAAGUAUGGGGAGUUCAAUUACUAGGAAGUUUAACAAAUAUUGAAAUGUUUAAGAAAAAGUUUUUUAGUACGAUUUCGGAUAUUGAAAAGUUGCAUAUAAAGUUUUGUAAACGGAUUCUGGAAGUCCAUUCCAAAUCUACCAAUCUAGCAGCAAUUGCUGAACUAGGAAGAUACCCAAUGAUUAUCCAGGUUUCCACAUUAGCCAUCAAGUAUUGGUUAAGAAUAAAUAGUCCAAUGUAUGAAAACCAGUUCGUGGGUAUAGCAGCACGUGUAUGCAUUCAAUCAUGUUGUCCGAUUGCAAAAUUCAACGAUUUUUUGUUAGAGAUGUGUAACUUUAAUCCUUUAAAAAAUACUACAAUUUGGAAGAAGAGUGAUAUUAAUAAUGUAGUCAAAAGUAUCAAAAACGAGUUAUGUGAAAGAUUUAAUAUCAUGUGGAAAGUUCAGAUUCAACAACUCAGUAAAUUGCAAGUUUUCAAUCUUGUAAAACCUAGUAUAGAAUUUGAAAGCUAUUUAUCUCAAGUUAAAAUUGUGAAGCACCGUCAAGCAGUGACUAGGUUUAGGAUAUCCGCUCAUAAGUUACCAAUUGAAACUGGACGAUAUGCGAAUAUUGAACACGAUUUACGUCUAUGUCCAAUUUGUAACUCGAAUGAGAUUGGGGACGAAUAUCACUACUUUUCACAUUGUAGUAACAAAAGGUUAGAAAGACUGCGAGAAAAUUUUUUAAAUGAGUUAGUUGAUUAUAACAGCA